AUGGGGAAUAUGUUUUCAUCCUUUGCUCUCUGCCUGGAUCUGUGAAAGACGAUACAAGAUGUAAUCUGUACUUUGGAGAAGCAGGUCGUCCAGUCUUAAAUCAAGCUGUCUUAAAGAAAAGCAGCACAAAAACCAGUCAGAGGUUCUGCCAGUUUGAUGUCUCAGUUGCUGAUUUUUUGAGACAUUUACAUUAUGUUCAACAAAAGGAUGCCAGCUGUGAUUACACUUUGGAAAAUGAACACAACUCUUUGUCACCUCGCAGUGAUCGAUACAACAUGACACAUAUUUUGGAGAAAGAAUCACCAACAACCAAAGUGAACUCACCAUGUACCAUGACCACAGAAGUUCCAAAACUUCAAAAGCCUGAAUCAAAUCAUACCUCACAAAAGAAAACAUCAGCAGAAUCAAGUCUCACAACACCCAGGGCUUCCACUUCUACCAGUACUGUGGACUCACCAUCAGAAGAAGUCUCAAGAAAGAUAAACACAAAAUCGUCAUUUACCUUGACCACAGAUUCAAACAAGACUGAUACCACAGUGAAAGUCGAAGAGUCAUUAUGGAAUUUGGCAGCAGCUGUGACAAGAUAUGGAAUAGUUGUGGGCUUCAUCCUACUGGUACUGGGGCUUCACAUAUUCAAAAGGAGAACUGGUGAUUUUGUACGGAUGAGAACAAUUAACCAUGGAGGAUCGUUACCGGCAGGUAAUGAUGGAGGCUCCAGUGUGAUUCUUUCAGUACCUGGUGACAACUGUCUUACUAUUGAGGAGAACAUAAACUUGCAGCAGAUGAAAAAUGAAAAUUCUGACAUUUACCACGUGUACGGCACCAUCUCUGAGGAAACAGAUGCACCAGAUUCACAGGAUACGAUUUAGAGCCUGCUGGACGCACACUGAAACAUUUUUGGUGACGUUGUCCGUAAAGUGUAUUUAAAGGGAUUUAAUUAAUUUAAGGUGGGGAAAGUUUUACAGGUAGUAGAUGUAUUCUUGCAAAAAGUCUUGAACUUAAAUUGUUGUAGAUUCUUUUUUCUAAGGAUAAUUGGCGUGAUCAUGCAGUUUUCAGCUUUUGCAUUUUUAAUAAAUGUUUUUAGAUCUUCAUUAUUUUGUUUUAAGUAACUGUAAUUUGGAAGAUGACAGUCAUAACAUCUGAGUCAUUCCCAAACUUAGAACUAUGUAUACUGUUGCCAUAUAAUAAGACUGGCUUACUUUCAAAUUAUCCAACUUUUCCAAAAAUCCAACAAUUUCUCCUUUAUAGAAUUGCCUAAUAGACUAUAUGUAUCUAUUUUAAUGGUGUCAUUUGCAUUUCAGAUUGUGUUUUUCAACUGUUUUUAAGGUGGGAUGUAUUUGUUUUGUGUUAAUACAAACUAAAGGGGAAACAACAUAUUAAACAUGUAUCUACAAACUGUCAACUGACAACACAAAAAGUUCUUCCAAAAUCUGCCUGGAAAAGGUCAAAGGAUUUAACUUCAUGUCCUUUUCAGUUUUCUCUUGGUAAUAAAAAACAAAAUCCUGCUUUUUUUUAAGGUUAUGUUGACACAGUUUGAAGUAAAGGAUUUUGUCUAAAUAUUAAAAAAGCCAAUCUUGACUUCAAUCACAGGUCUCAGAAAUCGUGGAUUUGAAUGCCCAAAAAUGUAUCUUCCAUUUAAACUCUGUACUAUUGCCAUGUCACACUUUCAGGAAUGGAAAACCAUAUCCAGUGAAACAAAAAUAUUUGUUUGUUUGCAAACAAAAAUAAACCUACGAACUGUACUCAGUAAGAGACAGA
ensembl:lncRNA